rnacentral:lncRNA from 1 species
AGGUAGUUAAAACUGGUGACAGGUCCAAAUCGCAGGUUUUCUCCUAAUUCAAUUUCCAAGUCCAACAUGUAUGAUCUAUUUACUUGAUAAAAUAUGCUCGAAAAUUCAGAUUUUACAUUCUAACAAUAAUCCAUGAAUUUGAGCUAUCAUUAAUUACCGAAACCAAGAUCUAUACAUGUCGACUAAUAAGCACUUAGGAGUAAAACCGAUGUAACCCACCUCAAGUGCAAUUUCCUGGCAGCGAACUCAGCCUCGGCCACCCGCGAUGCUGCCGGAUUCCUCAGGGACCACCUAGACCGGUCGCCGAGCUAAAACGACCAAAAUAACACAAAUCAGCCUAAGUUCACAGCAGCUGAGAAAGGUUUAGUUUCGACCAAGCUAACCUUGUCCAAAAAUUGCAAAUGAGGGCUCUGUGGAAUCCUCUCGCAGUCUAGAAUCCAAUGAACCAAGUUUCGUCGCGAUCCGACGCUCCUACACGGAGAACGAGCCGAAAUACUAACAGUCGACGCAGGAAAUCUGUGAAAACAGCACGCGUGGGCAACUUGGAAUCGAAGAUGGAUUCGGGGAAAAAUGCGACCAAAACAACUCACCUCCACAGUGAGGAACUACGACGCGGCGACAGUAACGUCGAAGACACGCCCUCGCCCGGCCUCCUCGCAGCGCCCCGGUCACACGCGCACUCGAACGGCUCGCGGCGCGACGUCGGCGACGAACUCCCCAACCGGCUUCUUCCCUACCUUCAACCGAGAGAGAGAGAGAAGAAGAACAGGUAAAACUCUCCCUCUCUCUCUGUUCGGACACCAUAAGAAGAGAAGGGAGGCGAUACAAACGAGGGAGAGAGAAAAUUACUCAUUUAGCCCUCUACCUACCCUGGUGUACCGGUACACGGGAUCGCGUACCGGUACGGCAGCCAACCUGAGAGCAACCCGCGCGCGCCCCAGUGCAGUGUACCGGUACACCUUAAUGGCUGUACCGGUACAGCAAGUAGAAAAACUGCAGUUUGCAGAUUUUCUUCGCUGAAAGUUGCCCUCGCGUCGUACGGAGCCCGUUUUGCGUCUAUUUGACGCCAACGCGACUCGGACUUGUCCCGACACUCUCCAGAGCUGUCGACAAGCCUCCACAGUCAAACACCAGGGAUCUCACAGAUUGAUUACCCAAAUUUAGGCACUUAUUUUAGAAAUUUUAGUGUUUCUCAAAUUUAGACACUAAUUUAAUUUAUCGGAAUUUUAGAAAUAGUUAUAUUUCUAACUACGUUGAAUAUAAAUAUUAAAUAUUAAUAUUAAAAUUAAAAAUUUAAAUUUAGAGGAAUUUUUUAUUAUUAUUUCAAAAAUUUGUAAUGUUGGUAAAUAUUUUAAUUAAACAUAUUUAAUAUGUUUAAGAAACUUUUAAAUUCCUAUAGUUUAGACAUUAAUUUUGUAUCACUUAUUUAAAAAAAUUUGAAUGUAGGAGAAAAAAUUAUAAAUUAAAUGUAUUUAAUAUGUUAAAAAAAAUUUAGAAUUGUUCUACUUUAGGCAUUAAUUUUGUAUCAUUAUUUAAAAAAAUUUAUAAUGUUGGUAAAUAUUUAAAUUCAACAUAUUUAAUAUGUUUAAUAAAAUUAUGAAUUCAUCUUGUUUAGAUAUUAAUUUUGUAUUACUAAUUUUAUCAAAUUGAAUGUGGGAAAAUAUUUAAAUUUAACAUAUUUAUUAUAUUUAAAAAAUUUCAGAAUUUUUCUAAUUUAGAUAUUAAUUCUUUAUCACUAUUUUAAAAUUUUUAAUGUGGACAAUUGAUUAGAAAUAUAGGGUAUAAUUCAAAUAUAUUGUGAUAUACUGAACCUUAACAAAUUGUCAAGAUUACAGUAUAAGUUUAUGCUUGAUUGAGUUGCGCAAAAUAGACGUAAAAACGGACUUUGAAACUCAAGAUUUAUAUUGUAGAGGAGUAAAGUGGAAUACUUAGUUAUAAAGGGGCUUGUUGGCAAUUUUUCUUUAACUAAGCAGUGGAGUCCACGUGCUUUCCCAUCCUUAUCCCCGCCGCUUUAAUUAGUGGUGGAGGGGAGGGAGUGAAGUUAAUUAGCUUUUUUUCUCUAUCUCUCUUUAAUUUAGCUCGUGUGCACGGUGGAGAGCUCGAGCUCGGGAGAUUUUCGUCGUAGUUUCGGAGAGCCGUUCGAGCGUGUGGACGUCGCUGUUAUGCCAUUGGAGGCCCGGUGAAUGCGUGUUUUUCUCUCCUUUCGACUUCUCGCCGUGGUUGGAUUAGCUUUUCAAGGUGGGUCAAAGUGAUGCUUACCGGAUUUUGCGGAUUUUCUCCUAAGUUCUAUUGUUAGCAUGUAUUCGUAGAUAUUGUCAUGUUUCAUUGCUCAAUUCAUCGAUUUAUUGUAUUUCUAAAAUCUGAAUUGGAGCUUAGAAUAUUAGUUAAAUAAUACAUGUUGGACUUGGAUUUGACUUAGGAGAAAACUGGCGCUUCUACACUGUCAUAUGUUAAAACUACCAGAUUUAGCUCUAGGAGCCAUAGUUUGUUUGUAUCGCCGCAGUUUCUGGGCGGUGGAUACCCAGGAUAGUGUAGAAUAAUAUUACGCUCGUGCUGGGAUGCCGAGCUUAUUUUUACAGUAUUGUUCAGGCUGUUCCAGAUUGUCGGGUGCCGUUGGGGUUGACGGUGGGCCCAGAUUACGGUUGUUGCAUCAGAUUGUGCCGAGGGCACGUGUCUUUUGGUUGUUAGACCAGUUAGACCCUGUUUACUUGACUAUAGCCUGUGAGAGCCGGAUUGAGCUUGACAGAGACGCUUGCGUACUCGGUUGGGUAGCGCCAGCGAGUGCCACUCCGGAGUCGGGCUUUGUGCUUUUGCAUUGGUGUCGUUUUGUCCUGGUUGGACUUGCCCUCCACUGACGACCUGGUUUGGUGUCAGAUAGUGUAGCUUCGACAGACGGGACGGGUGUGUUCAUGGUCCCUAGUGAGAUUGGGUCAGAUUGUACUUUUCUACAGAUAGUGGGUGCUAGAUCGAGAUAGUAUAGGUGCAUAUAGCUAUAGAUUUAUUCCAGCUUUCUUACUAUACUUGUUUAUAUCUGUAGACUUAGUGGGUGAGCCGUUGAGGUCAGUAGCGAUACCCACUGAGGAUUGCUUCUUUUGCAGUAGUUCUCACGCCCAGUUGUGGGAAUAUUUUGCAGAGCCUUCUUUUUUGGCUGCUGCUGCUGCUGCUGAGUCUGAUCGUGGAAAGGGUAUUGCGAGUUAGAGCCUUUCCUGACGAGUUGCAGAGCUAGAGGAGUACCGGUUACAGGUAGUUGUAGUUUUUGGUUAGUAUACAUACUGAUAUUGUUUCUCGUUGGAGCGAGUAUUUUGGUUACCUGUGACGCCCCGACUUCCCAGGGGGUCACCCAUCCUAGGACUACUCCCGUCCUAGCACGCUUAACUCUCUUAACCUCUUGGGCCUUGCCACCACCCAAAAUGCUUAAGCCGGGUUAAGAGUUUAGCCCUAUUAUAUCUUAUAUAUAGGACUAUCUGGGGUCUCACAUUACCUGGAUGCUUUGUAUGUAUAGUUAACCCCCGUUGUUUAUAUAUAUAUUUCAUUUCUUUUAGCAGCUUUAUACUACUGGUUGUAGUAUUGUAUGAUUACAGGUACAGCUAUCGCUUCGUAUACAGAAAAAAAUUUCUUUGUAUACGACUAAUUUGUUGGCGUGCCCGAAAAAACGAGAAAUCCGGGGCGUAAUAUUUAUUCUUAGAGUAGAAUUGUAUGGGCAAAAUUAAUUCAAAUUUUAUUAGUAAAAAUUGAUUUUUUUUAAAAUAAUAAGAUCAUGUAUUGUAAUUUAAAAUAUAAGUUGAAAACAAAAUAAAUUUGAAGUUUAGAAGCUAAAAAGUAUACAAAAACCUCCAAUAAAUCUAAAUAGUAUAGUGCAAUUUAAACUUACUAAUAAAUAAAUUUAGACUGUAUAAUUUAAAUUUUAAGCUUAUAAUAAAUCUCCACCAUAGAGUUUUAUUAGAGUAAACAAAAUUAGAAAUAAAAUUAGAAAUGUAGAUAAAUUAAAUAAAUUUAUAUUGAACAAAUCUAAGCUAUUUGUAUAUUUUAUCAAUUUGAUCAGUCUAAUUAAUUUGAUUUACUAAAUUGAUUUUGAUCUUACCUUUAAAAUUUUUCUGUUUUUAGUUGAUUUUUUAAAUUUUAGUUCUUUACAAAUUGAAUUUGUAAAGAAACAAAGAGAGAGAAAAAGGAAACAAAAAGAAUAAAGAUUUUGAUAAUAUAGUGAGAUAAAAUUACUAAAUUAUCCAUGUAUUAAAAGAUAAAAAUAUGCUUCUUUAAGAUACUUGGUAACCGAUACCUCUCCCAAAGUAACCAGCUAUUACAGGUCACAAUUUAAAAAAAAAUAAUUCUGAGCCAUUGGAAAGGACUGAAUAAACGGUAGAAAAUAACAAGUAUAGAAGCGCUACUCUAUUUAUUUUUAGGGAUAAUAUCUAAUACUCUUCAAAACUUUAAAAGUAUUUAAUAUUACCUUUUAUUGACCAAAAUAUAUCCUCAUUGAUUUUCAAAAGGAUCUUCAAAUAUACCCAACAUUUUUGGAUUUGCUAAUGAGAUUUGAGAUUUAGAAGGACAUUUUGGAUAUCAAAGAAUAAAUUUAAAAAUUAAAAAUAGUAUUUAUAGGUUAUUUCAACAUAUCCAGAUAUCUUAAAUUUCUGAAUGAGAUUACUAUUUAUACUGUGUUAGCGCAAUGAGAUUACUACUUAUACUAUGUUAGCGCGUUCGGUUUAAUACUGAAUUGUAGUGUAUAUAGCAUUAUUAUAUUUGGUUCAGUUUAUAAAAUUAAAUAAUCCUCACAUGUAAUCUAUUUCAAAAUUGUCCAUGGUAUCCAUACUCGAGUCUUCAAUGGUAAUAACAUAAGUAAAGGUCCCUUUUAAUUUUUAUCUCGGUUCGAUCCAAAGUUCAAUUAGUUGGACAUCCUAGAUCUAAUAAUUUAUCGGGGCCGAUCCAUUGGACCAAAAUGUUAUAACUUAAUUGUAUUUGUGUUGGAACAAUUACCGCACAUAAAUCUGAUUGCGAUUUAAAUCUAACUAAAAUUUAUUAUGAAAAUAAAUAAAUCAACUUACAGAUGAUCACUAAAUUCAAAUAAAUAUUUAAUUGAUCCGGAAGCGUGCGAGGCACUGCCCUAAGGCGUAUUUCCAUCCUUACGUCCGGGAUUAACCGGAAACACGGUCCCAAGGUACGACCGGAAUUCCUCCUUCUGCGAGCACGAUCGUUAAGAGGGUUGACGAAGACUCUUUCAACACCUGAUGAUAAAAAUAUCAAAGACAAUAAAAAAAUAAAUUAAAUAAAAUUUCUUCUUUCAUUUUUUCACUUAACUCUCUCAGCAAUGUUCAUAUCUAUAAUGAACAGUGCAAUCCAUUGUAUAUAUAAUGGAGAGAGAAUGAAACAUUGGAUACCCAACGUUUCCAACAUCCCACUUAAUUCAUGCCUUUAUGUGGCAUAAAGAAGAAAUAAAUUUAAUUUAAUUAAUCUAAUUAAUUAACAUAAUAAAAGAUAAUAAAUGAGAAUAAUUAUAAAAUUAAAUGAUAUUUAGAGAUUUUGGAUUUUCUCCAACAAUCCCCCACAAAAUUCAAAAUCUCAUAAUUAAACUCAAAAAUAAAAUAAAUAAAUGAACAAACAAGUCACUGGGUGUUUAUACUAUGCAAUAGGCGAGGUGUUUUUAAGAGACUUAACCUCAGUUAGUGUAGAUAGUUUCCAUCAGAAGGAAUCGGAGUGAACCAGGUCUUGAACUACGUUCCUUUGACCCUGACUUCAACUAUCACACACACAGUACAGAAUUCUCCGUCGCGGGUCUGUGCGUUAAUGGCCAUGCACAGUACCUUGAUUUUUCAUAAGAGUUUCUAUGGAUAGCCCAUUCACAUAGCCGCGGCCACAUACCGAUACUCUUAUAUAGGUGGUUUCCUCUAGGGAUGUAUGUAGAGUCACAUCUAGCGGAAAUUACCGCCUUGGAUCCUAUUAAGAGCUCUCAGCUCAACCUAAUCCACUACACAGAGCACUACUCACCAUAGGGAUGGAAUUGGAGCUAAAGCUCCUCUAUAUAGACUGAAGAAAGUGCUCUUUGACCAAUCUGACAGUUUGUUUUUACCACAUUGAACCUUCUUCAAGGGAUCUCCUAUCACAAAGGUUGGGUUCCCACUGCAGGAAGGCCCUUUAUGGGCAAGAUCCCAUCCCCCUCGAUGACAGUAGGACCAUAGUCCUCUUCAGGCCUUUCGUCAAGUAAUCUGCAAGAUUCUGAUUAGAUAUGAUAAAACUCAAAAAAAUAAUAUUAUAAGAGGUUAGCCAUCUAAUAAAUUUUUUUUUUCUCAACUUAAUAUGUCUGAUAAUUUUAGAAUUUACUACUUACCAAUUUCAUUUAUAAGCUAAACAUUAAGAUCACAAAAAAAUGAAAUUGGUAGAGCAAUCAUAAUAUCAAAAUUUAUCAAAUUAAUAAAAGAACCUCCCGCAUAAUUAUAGAGAUAUACUAAAAUUUAAAAAUUAUGAAAUUUAAUCAUGUUUAACAAAUUCAGUUCAACAAUAAAUAGAUUGCAGAAACAAUUUUAAAAUAUUUGAUUUUAAUUAGGUAAUUUGUUUGCAAACAAUAUAUUGCAAGCAAUGUAUAAAAAUAUUAAAUACAAUCAGCAAAAUUAUCACAGUAAAUAUGUGCUAGCUGUUGUAUACUCAGUCAUGCUGAGAAGUUAGAUAGUUGUGAUAUUAAAUCCAACAAAUAGAGUUUACAACGACAGCAACAAUAAAAAAAUGCAAUAGUAUUAGUGCUGCUUGUUAGGUGAUCUCGCUCAAAAACCGUGCUUUUAGAAACUGUGGGUUGAAAUUCCACUUAGAGCAAAAUUGUUUGAAAUUAAUUUUGCAGCAGAAUUUUUUUCUUUUUUUUUUUCUUGAAAAAUAAUAUGUAUAUAAAAUUAAGCUUUAAGAAAAUCCGUACACGCUAAAAUUGUUUUACUGUAACAAAAACCUCCUUUCCUUUUUUUUUUUUAUUUAUUAUCAAAACAGUAAAAUAUAUAUAUAUAUAUUUGAAAAUAAUAUGUACAUAAAUUAACUUUAAAAAGCUGUACACUUAAAAAUAAUUUACUGUAGCAAAUGUUUUUUUUACCGUACAAGUAGUUUAAAACUUAUAACAAGCAGUAAUUUCUUUUUAAUAAUCAAAAGGUUUUACUGUAGCAAGAUUCAAACCAACCUCCGUACACAAGAAAUCUAAAAAAAAUACUGUAACAUUUUUUUAAAAUUUUAAAUAACAGUAGAAGACAAAUAAAAAUUACAAGCAAAUUAUAUGCAAUUAAAAUUUGAAAAUACUAAUCCCAACUUAAAUUAAUAUUGUAUGUCAAUCAUACAAGCAAGUUAUCAAACAAAUUAUCUACAAUGUAUAUAUGUAUAGAUUUUAAUGGAUUAGCACCGUCAGAUUUAACCACAAUCAGAUAGGAAUACGCUUUAAAUUGUUGGAACAAUUAUCGCACAUAAAUCUGAUUGCGAUAUAAAUCUAACUAAAUUUUAUUAUGAAAAUAAAUAAAUCAACUUACAUAUGAUCACUAAAUCCAAAUAAAUAUUUAAUUGAUCCGGAAGCGUGCGAGGCACUGCCCUAAGGCGUAUUCCCGUCCUUACGUGCGGGAUUAACCGAAAACACCGCCCCAAGGUUGUCACGCCCCGGAUUACACUUUCCCCGGGCGCGCCGACAAAUCCGCCGUAUACAAAGAAAUUUCCCCUGUAUACGAAGCGUUAGCUGUACCUGUAAAUCAAACACUACCACAAACAGUAGUAGAGAGCUGCUAGAGAAAACAGAAGCUAAACAAACUGAGUUUCAUAUACAUAGUCCAAAUCCAAAAUACAAAGCUACUCGCACUGGCGAGUUAAGUCCACUAUGUACAUAAACUCGAAACAAAACAUCUACCUGCAGUAGGGGCACCUCUAGCUCAGCACGUCGGGUAGGGCUCUAACUCGCGACGCCCUUGCCUCGAUCCUGAUCCGCGGAAGGCGCAGCAGCCGAAACCUGUGGCUCUGCAAAACGGGGGUAACAACUGGGCGUGAGAACUACUAUAAAAACAAGUAGUCCUCAGUGGGUACCGCCNNNNNNNNNNNNNNNNNNNNNNNNNNNNNNNNNNNNNNNNNNNNNNNNNNNNNNNNNNNNNNNNNNNNNNNNNNNNNNNNNNNNNNNNNNNNNNNNNNNNNNNNNNNNNNNNNNNNNNNNNNNNNNNNNNNNNNNNNNNNNNNNNNNNNNNNNNNNNNNNNNNNNNNNNNNNNNNNNNNNNNNNNNNNNNNNNNNNNNNNNNNNNNNNNNNNNNNNNNNNNNNNNNNNNNNNNNNNNNNNNNNNNNNNNNNNNNNNNNNNNNNNNNNNNNNNNNNNNNNNNNNNNNNNNNNNNNNNNNNNNNNNNNNNNNNNNNNNNNNNNNNNNNNNNNNNNNNNNNNNNNNNNNNNNNNNNNNNNNNNNNNNNNNNNNNNNNNNNNNNNNNNNNNNNNNNNNNNNNNNNNNNNNNNNNNNNNNNNNNNNNNNNNNNNNNNNNNNNNNNNNNNNNNNNNNNNNNNNNNNNNNNNNNNNNNNNNNNNNNNNNNNNNNNNNNNNNNNNNNNNNNNNNNNNNNNNNNNNNNNNNNNNNNNNNNNNNNNNNNNNNNNNNNNNNNNNNNNNNNNNNNNNNNNNNNNNNNNNNNNNNNNNNNNNNNNNNNNNNNNNNNNNNNNNNNNNNNNNNNNNNNNNNNNNNNNNNNNNNNNNNNNNNNNNNNNNNNNNNNNNNNNNNNNNNNNNNNNNNNNNNNNNNNNNNNNNNNNNNNNNNNNNNNNNNNNNNAAUCAAGCUAUCUCCAAGCUAUCAACAUCAAAAUCCACAAUUCAGUCCAAAUACACAGCAGCAGAGAAGAGAAGGGUUUCGACCAAGCUAACCUUCACCAAAAUCCACAAGUAAGGACUUCGUGGAUUCCUCUCGCAGUCCCGAAACUAACAAAUCAAGUUUCGUCGAAAUCCGAUGCUCCUACGUCGAGUACAAGCUGAAAUACCAACAGUCGAUGAUAAAGUUCAGCAAAACAGCACUUAAGCUAAAAUAUCCCAAUUCUAAUGUCAAAACUCACCUAAUGAACUCCAAAUCAGGUGAAGAGGGUCCCAAUUCCAGUACUGGGUGAUGGGGAACGUGACUCAACUCCACAAAGCCCCUGCUUCCCAAGUUCACCCCAAGAAAACUCAAAAAUUGGCAAAUUCUGUCCAAAGCUACAGCAGCAGAGGAAAAUCUGAGUUCGACUGAGCUAACCUUCACCAAAAUCUGCAAUUCAGGGCUUCGUGGAUUCCUCUGGAAGUCAAGAAUCCAGCAAAACAAGUUUCGUCGAAGUCCGACCUUCCUACGUCGCGCACGAGCCAAAACACUGGAGAUCGUCGCUGAAGAACUGCAGAAUCAGCACUCCAUCAAGCUGGAUUAUGGAAGUUUGAUGCAAUUUGAAGCAAAUCCGAGGUUUGAGAUGCUAAAAGGGGUUUCUCUGUGAAGAAGGGAAGAAAAGAGCAGCAAAGGGACGCAUUUCAACUAUUUAUAGGGUGAAAAUAGGAUCCAAUGAACCUCAAGAACAAAGCUUGCAAUCUGCUGUCCCUGCAGAAACGGGCAUUUCCGGGCGCCCGGAACCAUGUUCUGGGCGACCAGAACAUCCUGACAGCAUAAACCGGACCCUUCGGACUCUCCGCCCGCGGUGCGCUGCGCCCGUAAACGACUCCGGCGGAACUUACCUACCACCCUGCCACGCGUCGAAGCAAGCGAUAUUCACGAUGUCAAAUUUCCGGACCCACUUCCGGGCGCCCGGAACUUGGGAUCCGAAUUGGCUUCCAGUCUCAGUUAAAUUCAACACUCGUUUCUGGGCGACCCUAACAAUGUUCUGGGCGCCCGAAUCUGGCAAAACUCCAGUUUUGCCUAUUUGAGUGCGCCGAGUCCAAUUCUGCAUCCAAUUCGUGCAGAAUUGACUCCGACUCAGUUCGACACUCUCCAGAGAUGUUGACCAGUCUAUAAUACUGAAGCCAAUCCUAUCCAAAACUCAGGAACACUACAAAGGUACGACCGGAAUUCCUCCUUCUGCGAGCACGAUUGUGAAGAAGGUUAACGAAGACUCUUUCAACACCCGAUGAUAAAAAUAUCAAAGACAAUAGAAAAAUAAAUUAAAUAAAAUUUCUCCUUUCAUUUUUUCACUCAACUCUCUCAGCAAUGUUCAUAUCUAUAAUGAACAGUGCAAUCCAUUGUAUAUAUAUGUGAGAUCCCUGGUGUUUGUCUGUGGAGGCUUGUCGACAGCUCUGGAGAGUGUCGGGACAAGCCCGAGUCGCGUUGGCGUCAAAUAGACGUAAAACGGACUCCGUGCGACGCGAGGGCAGCUUUUAGCGAAGAAAUUUGCAAAACUGCAGCAUUCUCUGCUCGCUGUACCGGUACAAGCUUAGUGGCUGUACCGGUACAACCAUCGCAGACUGCUCUCGGGUUGGCAUGUGUACCGGUACAGAGCCCCGUGUACCGGUACACUUGAGUAGGUGAGGGGGUAAUUGGGUCUUUUCUCUCCCUCGUUUGUAUCACCAACCCAUUCCCUCUCUAUAUAGCUUGGUGCUGAGAGAGAGAGAGAGAGUUCUUGUUGCGUUCUCUUCUCCUCUCUCUCUCUAGACUCGGUUACAGUGGAGAGCUUGGUUGGAGAAUCCGUCGCCGACAUCGCGCCGCGGAACCGUUUGAGCUCGCGUUUGACGCCGGGGUAGCGCGAGGAGGCCGGGCGAGCGGAGGUUUUUCGCCGUUUUUACUGUCGCAGCGGUGCCCGGUGUUGUCGAGGUGAGUAAUUCAGCAUUUCCCUGAAUUUUUGGGCAGGUGUUUGCUACUUCAACUCGGAAAAGUGUUGUUUGCUGAAAUCCACCGUCGACUGUUAGUAUUUCAGCUCGUACGCGACGUAGGAGCAUCGGAUUGCGACGAGACUUGGUUCGUUGGAUUCGGGACUUCGAGAGGAAUCCACGAAGCCUUUACUUGCAAAUUUUGGUGAAGGUUAGCUUGGUCGAAAUCCUUCUCUUCUCUGCUGCUGUGGAUUUUGGACUGAAUUGAGAAAUUUUGGUGUUUUAGUUUGGAGUUAGCUCGAUUUCGAGACUCGGGCGUUUUUGGUCGAUCCAGCAGGUGGUGUCGCAGUCGAGGGGGUUCUGUGCUGCCAGGGAUUAGCGUGCGAGGUGGGUUACAUCGGCUUUACUCCUAAGUUCUUAUUGGUCGACAUGUAUAGAUCUUGAUUUCGGUAAAUUGUGUUAGCUCAAAUUCAUGGACUAUAUGUAGAUUGUGAAAUCUGAAUUUUGGAGCAUGUUUUAUAAAUUAAGUAGAUUAUACAUGUUGGACUUGGAAAUUGAAUUAGGAGAAAACCUGCGAUUUGGACCUGUCACCAGUUUUAACUACCUGAUUUAGCUCUAGGAGCCGUUAGAAAAUUGUACUGUCGCAGUUUCUUCGAGACGAGUACUCCAGGUAGUUUAGAAUGUAUUUACACUCGUGCUGGUUCGCCGAGUGGAUUUUUACAGGGUCGUUCAGGUCGUUUCGGACUGUUGGGUGCCGUCAGAGUUGACGGUGGACCCGUAUCGCCUUUUUGGCGUCAGAUUGUGCCGAGGGCACGUUACCUGUUGGUUGUUAGACCAGUUUGAGUCGAUUACUUGACUUUGGCUAGUUGGAGCCUGAUUGAGCUCGACAGAGAUACGCUGCAUACUCGGUUGGGUAGCGCCCACGAGUGCCACUCCGGAGUCAGGCUUGUGCUUUUGCGUUGGUGUCGCUCAUGCCAGUUGGACUUGCUCUCCACGGACCAGUUAGAGUGGAUAGAGCCCGAUAGUCGCAACGGGGCAGGGACGGGUGUAUUCACAGUCCCGGGGACGGGUAUGCUUACAGUCCCGAUUGGAUUGGGUCAGAUUUGACAUUUCCUACAGUUGGUUAGUGUAGAGCAUGAUAGUGUAGUGGAUGAUAGCGGUAGAGUAUGCUUCCUGCUUUCCUUCUAUCCUUGCUCCCUUCUGUAGACUUAGUGGGUGACCGAUGUUGUUUUGGGCGGUACCCACUGAGGACUACUUGUUUUUACAGUAGUUCUCACGCCCAGUUGUUACCUAUGUUUUUGCAGAGCCACAGGUUCCGGCUGCUGCACCGUCUGCGGACCAGGAUCGAGGCAAGGGCGUCGCGAGUUAGAGCCCUACCCGACGUGCUGAGCUAGAGGUGCCCUACUGCAGGUAGAUGUUUUGUUUCGAGUUUAUGUACAUAGUUGACUUAACUCGCCAGUGCGAGUAGCUCUGUAUUUUAGAUCUGAACUAUGUAUAUGAAACUCUGUUUUAUUUAGCUUCAGUUUUCUCUAGCAGCUCUCUACUACUGUUCGUAGUAGUGUUUGAUUUACAAGUACAGCUAUCGCUUCGUAUACAGGAAAAAUUUUUUUGUAUACGGCGGAUUUGUCGGCGUGCCCGGGAAACGUGUAAUCCGGGACGUGACAAUAUAAUGGAGAGAGAAUGAAACAUUGGAUACCCAACGUUUCCAACAUCCCACUUAAUUCAUGCCUUUAUGUGGCAUAAAGAAGAAAUAAAUUUAAUUUAAUUAAUCUAAUUAAUUAACAUAAUAAAAGAUAAUAAAUGAGAAUAAUUAUAAAAUUAAAUGAUAUUUAGAGAUUUUGGAUUUUCUCCAACAAUUUGUUAUAGAAAUAUCCAACCUUAUAUAUUCAUUCAUCAUAGGUUUAAUAUCCGAUAUGGGACUAUUCUUAAUCUCGAGAUGUUAUAAAAGACUAUAUUUUUAAUAUCCGAUAUGGGACUAUUCUUAAUCUCGAGAUGUUAUAAAAGACUAUAUUUUUACUGGAUAGAAAGUAACAAUAGGAUAUUCAAAGGAAAUUCCAAUUGUAGUGUCACGCCCCGGAUUAUUCGUUUUUUCGAGCACGCCAACAGACUCGCCGUAUACAUAGAAAUUUUUCCUGUAUACGAAGCGAAGCCGUACUGAAUCUGUAAAUAAACAACACUACAACCAGUAGUAUAGAGCUGCUAGAAGAACCGGUAUAUAAUAAAAAUGGAUCAGUAGAUACACAGUAUCCUGAUACAAAGCACUUGCUCCAGCGAGUUAUAACAUCAGUAUGUAAUGAACCAAAAACUACAACUACCUGUAGCUGGUGCUCCACUAACUCGUCAGCUCGUCUGGUAGGGCUCUAAUUCGCAACGCCUUUGCCACGAUCAGUCUCAGAGAGUGCAACAGCCGGAAUAGCAGGCUCUGUAAAAGAGAGGUAACAACAGGGCGUGAGAACUACUGUAAAAAUAAGUAGUCCUCAAUGGGUGCCGCCCUCAAUAUCAUUGGUCCGCCCACUAAGUCUAUAGAAGUAAGCAGAGAUAGUAGAAAAUGCUGGAAUAAAUCUAUAGCUAAAUGCCACUACACUAUCAUGCUCUAAAACUAACUAUCUGUAGAAAAUAAAUUCUGACACAAUCUCACUAGGAACUGUAAGCAUACCCGUCCCAGGGACUGUAAACACACCCGUCCCGCAUGUUGAAGCUAAAGCUACCUCCACCACUAAGCAGUCCGUGGAAAGCAAGUCCAACCAGAACAUAACGACACCAACGCAAACGCGCAAAACCCGACUCCGGAGUGGCACUCGUGGGCGCUACCCAACCGAGUAUGCAAGCGUAUCUCUGUCGAGCUCAAUCAGAUUCUUGCAGGCUAUAGUCAAGUAAACAGGGUCUAACUGGUCUAACAACCGAAACACACGUGCUCUCGGCACAAUCUGAUACUACAUCAGUAAUCUGGGUCCACCGUCAACCUCAACAGCACCCAACAGUCCGGAACAGUCUGAACAGUAAAAGUAGGCUCGGCAUCCCAGCACGAGCGUAACUGCACUCUAAACUACCUGAGGUAUCCACCGCUCUGAAACUGCGAUGAUACAAUCGAACCACGGCUCCUAGAGCUAAAUAUGAUAGUUUAAGCAUAUGACGGGUAAAAUCGCGAUUUUCUCCUAAGUCUCAUCCAAGUCCAACAUGUAUAAAUGUUCUAAAAUUGCUACUUGAUGCUCCAAACUCAGAUUCUACAUAUAGGCAUGCAAUUCACAAGUUCGAGCUAAACAAACAAGAUAUACGAAGAUCAUCAAUACAUGCUGUCAACUAGGCUUAGAAGAGAAGUCCGAUGAUUAACCCACCUCGAAAGCUACUCCAAAACCGGCACGACGUCGAGAACGGCGGUAUCACACCCUCUCCCAGCCUCCCCGCGACGCUACUACGACGAACGUGCACUUGAACGGCACCGCGGCGCGACGUCGGCGACAAUCCAACACCACCCGAGCUCCUCCACCACGUACGAUCCAAGCUAGAGAGAGAGAGGAGAAUAAGAACAGUGAGAAGCUCCCUCUCAGCUCUCUCACACGUAUAAGGAGUGGGAGAGAGGGUGACACAAAUGAGGCAAGAAAAGACUAAUUUGCCCUCUCACCUACCCUGAUGUACCGGUAUAUGAGCGUUUGUACCGGUACAAAUGGCAACCCGAGUGCAGCUGCGCGGAAACAGGCGAAGUGUAUCGGUACACCCCCAAUGUUGUACCGGUACAGAAAAUGCACCGGUACACUUCUGAUGUUGUACUGGUACAACAAGCAGAAAAUCUGCAAUUUGCAGAUUCCAAAGCUAACUCCUGCUCUCGCGUCCCCACUGAGUUUGUUUUGCGUCUAUUUCGCGCCAAACGCAACUCGGACUUGUCCCGACACUCUCACGACGUGUCGAUAAGCCUCAACCGUUGUACACCAGGGAUACUACAUGUAGAGUCUUUUUACUUGAAAAAAAUCAAUCCUUUUGUAUCUCUAUAGGCUGAUAAUCUUAUCGCAGUUAAGAAAAAGAGAGAGUAUAUAUAGAUGGAGACUUAAAAGAAGAAAGAGUGUAUUGACAGCUCCACCAGAUUAUCAGCAACUGUAAAAUAAUAAGUAUUUUGAAUGUUGGCAGGAAAAGAAUUAAUGGGGAUAUAAUUAGCUUUUCACAAUAGUUUAAUUUUUUUCUAGUUUCAGCUGGAUUGUGAGCUAUCUAAUGGUAUGUUAUAUGUUGCGAUGUUGGAUAUAUACAUGUGGUUUGCCCUUUAUUUAUUUACUCUGUGUACGUUGUAGUAUGUAAUAGUUUGCAAAAAAAAUUGGUUGAGAGUAAUUUUAUCUUCAGUUUUUACUAUAUAAAUAUAUAUAUAAAACUAUGGUACUAUACUAUUAAUAGCACCAAGUAAUUGCUGCUAUUAAAUUUUUAGUCUUAGAUAAAAGGAUGUGUGAUUAGGAGAUAGUGGUCCUUUAGAUAUUGUUUGGUUUGGAUAUAAGAAAGAACUGUCAAUUUCAGAAAUAGGUAUAAAUUCAAGUAUAAGUAAGAAUUAGACCAAUUUUGUGUUUGGUUGAAAAAUGGAUUGUUCCCGGAGAUAAGAAAAAUAACGUUUGGAUAGAUAAGAUAAAAUAAAAAGAAGAGUGGAUAGUUAAAUAAAAAAUAAUAAUUUUACCACUCUCAUUAUAUUUGAAUUUGAAUUUUCAAAUUUUAUAUUUAUAUUUUUUAGUUUAAAAUUUUAACAUUUAAAUUUCAAAUUUUGAAACUAAAAUUCAAAAUUUAAAAUCUCAAACUUUAAAUUCAAAAUCAUAAAUUUUAAAUUCCAAACUUUAUAUUUAAGAUCAAAUUUAAAUUUAAAAAUAUAAAAUAUAAAAUUUUAAAUUUUAAAAAUUUAAAAUAUUAAAAUUUAAAUUUAAAUUUUAAAAUUUAGAAUCUAAGAUUAUAAACUUUAAUUUAGAGAUUACAAAAUAUAAAUUUUAAAAAUUUAAAUUUAAAUUUUUAAAUUUUAAAAUUUAAAAAUUUUAUGUAGUGUUUCUGAGCUUUGGAUAGGAUUNAAUUUAAAAUUAUAAACUUUAAUUUUGAGAUUACAAAUUAUAAAUUUUAAAAAUUUAAAGUUUAAAUUUUAAAAUAAGAAUAGGGGUGGCAACAAUUAAUACAAAUAAUUUAUUAUAAUAUUUAAAUAUAAUUUAUUAUAAUAUUUAAAUAUAAAUGAUACGUACUAAUAUAUUGCAUUUAAUAAUUUUAUUAUAAAAAUAAUAUAUUAUAAUAUAUAACAUAUUAUAUUUAUAUAAUUUAUUUUUAAUUUAAUUUAUAAUUUUAAUAAAGUUUGAAAUUAAAAUUAGAAUAGCAGUAUUCUACCAAUGGUGAAAUAGUAAAUUUCAAACUAUUUCGGGAUAGCCGAGAAUAGCAGGGUUUGACCGGAAUAAAAUAUUCCGGCCAAAAAUCAUCCCGUUUGGUAGAAUAGCGGAGAUAAUUUUUGUAGUAUCCUAGGGAUUUGUUGCCCGUGAGAUUUUAGCAUCUGAGACUUGUGGACACAUCUAGAGAGUGUUGAGACAAGUCCGAGUCGUUUGGGCGCGAAAUGGACGCAAUACGGACUCAGUGCGAUGCGAGAGCAGAGUCGUGGCACAGAAAUCUGCAAAGUGCAUGUUUCAGAAUUUAGUACCGGUACCACGCAGGGGAGUACCGGUACCCCAGUGCGUUGGCAGAACAGUCUGCUCUCGGGUUGCGCCUAACUGAUGCUGAGUACCGGUACUGCAUCGGGUCAGUACAGGUACCGAGGCCGAGUACCGGUACUGCAUCGGAUGAGUACCAGUACCCAAUGUGCGAAGCUGCGGGCUGAAAGCCCGAGUACCGGUAACCAAAUCUGGUACCGGUACUCUAGUUGGACUUUUGAGUCGGUAAAGGGCAUCUCGGUCUCACCCACCUCUUUAUAUGCUCACAGAGAGAGAGAGUUUGUGAGUCCUUCUCCAUUCCUUCUCUCUUUCGUUGGUGGACCCGUACGUGCUGGAGGACGCGGUUUGAGCUCGGAUCGACGUCAACGUUGCGCCGGAGAGCCGUUCGAGCGAGUAGGCGUCGCGGUUGCGUCGUUGGAGGCUGGGCGAGCGCGGGUUUUCCAUUUUUUUCGACUUCUUGCUGUUGUUGGACGAGCGUUUUGAGGUGGGUUGAAGUUUACCAAAAUCGUCGGAUUUCUUCCUAAGCCUAGUUGUUGUCAGCAUGUAAACUUCAUGUAUAGUAUUAUGUUAUAUGCUCGAUUCGCCGAUUUGCAUGGUUUUUAUGUGGAAUCUGAAUUGGUGCUUCUUUAAAUACUAGAAUUAUUUUCAUGUUGGACUUGGAAUUGACUUAGGACAAAACUAUUGAAUUUACACUAUCAUUUCUGAAAACUACUAGAUUUUGUUUUAGGAGCUGUAGUUUACUUAUAUCGUCACUGUUUGUAGGCGGUGGAUACCCAAAAUAGUGUAGGAUGAGUUUACGCUCGAGCUGGGAUGCCGAGUUUAUUUUACAGUAGUAUGUAGACUGUUUUGAACUGUUGGGUGCUGACUCGGUUCACGGUGGACUCAGAUUUCUGUUUUGCAUCAGAUUGUGUCAGGGGCAAUUGUGAGUUGGUUGGUAGACCAGUUAGACAUUUUUCUUUGACUAUAGCCUGUGAGAGUUUGAUUGAGCUCGACAGAGACACGCUUGCAUACUCGGUUGGGUAGCGCCCCGGAGUGCCACUCCGAAGUCGGGUUUUGUGCGUUCGCGUAGCUGUCGUAGGGUCCGGUGGGACUUGCUCUUCACCAACUACCUAGUGUGGAGGUGGUUGGUGACGCUUUAGCAGGUAGGACGGGUACGUUCACAGUCCUUAGUGAGAUUGGGUUAUAGAUUGCAUGUUGCCUAUAUCUACAGAUAGCUAUUGUUGAUUAGCGAUAGUAUAGUGUGUAAGUUUUAAGGAGCCCAAAGAUCUAUCUAGAUUGUAUCAAACACCUAGAGGGGGGUAAAUAGGUGUAAAAGCCAAAAAUCGCAAAUCUCAAUGCGAUAAAAAUAAAUGCGAAAAAUAAAAAUCACACCGAGAUUUACGUGAAAAAACUCCAACUUGGAGUAAAAAACCCACGGGACCAACACGUAAAAAAAUAAUUCACUAAGAGAAAAUAUUACAAGGUGAUUACCGACUCUACGGACUCGACCUCUCUUGACCUCCUAUGAAUCUUCGCGCUACCCUCCGGGUUGUCCACGCCCUCACGUUCGAAUCCACGAACGCUACAUUCCGAAUCCACGAAACGCCUCCACUUCGAAUCCACGAAGCUUUCGAUCCGAAUCCUCGAACCGCCUUCAAUCACACCGAAUCCACAACGCUAUCCAUGAAGAACAUCAUGAAUAUGGUAAUCCCUCGCUUAGAGUAUCGAUGAAAACCAGAGAAGAGAACUCUAAGCGAAGAGUAGAUCAAAUCGACAUAUAGAUAUCACAUUACAAUAUCUCGAUUUGACCUAGAAGAGGCUUCUUUGUAGAAAAUAGGUUUUUGACGAAAAACAAGCCUUCAGGGUUUCUCAAACAUGAAUUCUCGUGAUGCUUCAUCAGUUAGAGAACCCCAAUAGCUUAUUUAUAGACUUUAGAAUCAAUUGGAGUCGGAUUAGAAAGUUUUCGGAUUUUUUACAUUGUGUACCGGUACAAAAUUAAGGUGUUACCUGUUACACGAUGACAGAACAGAAAACAAUAAGCCUCGAAACCGGUUACAUGUUGAUGGUUGUACCGGAACAUGUUUUGUACCGGUACACUUCCGAUGUUGUAUCGGUACACAGUGCAUUUUCCAGAAUUUGCACUGUUUCGGGUUUCACAUAGCUCCGAGGCACUUUCUAAUCCAUUAAACUUUGAUAUUCAUGAUUCUAACAUCUAUAACUAAGUAUAAAUCACCAUAACAUGAAAUAAAACUUUACCUGAGUAUCGUGAUUCACGUCGUGUCACGCCCCGGAGUGCACAGUCCCCCGGGCACGCCGACAAAUCCGCCGUAUACAAGAGAAUUUCUCCGGUAUACGAAGCGUAGCUGUACCUGUAUAAACAUACAAUACUACAAGCAGUAGUAUAGAGCUGAAGUAAACUAUAAACAAGAAGGUAGAAAUAACAAACUUUAAGCAUACAACAGCCACGGAUAUAAAAGAACACUACUCGCUCCAGCGAGUUCAACUGUAAGAACAAAAGCGCCCGAACAAAAACUGUCACUACCUGCAGCGGGAGUCCUCUAGCACUGUACUCGAAGGGCAGGCUCUAGCUCGCCACGCCUUUCCCGCGGUCCGCCUCAGAAGGAGCAGCAGCCGAAACAGAAGGCCCUGCAACAACGGUGGAAGAAAGAGGGCGUGAGAACUACUAUAAAAACAAGUAGUCCUCAGUGGGUGCCGUCCUAAACAACAUCGGUCCACCCACUAAGUCUACAGGGUAAGCAAGAUAGAAGAAAAUGAAGCUGGAAACUCUCUACAGCUACAAGUCGCUAUGCUAUCAUGCCCAGAACUAACACCUAUAGACUCAAGUCAACCAGACCCAAUCUGAAGGGGACCGCGAACGCACCCGUCCCUGGGACUGUGAACGCACCCGUCCCGUGCCCGGUUGUGACUGCACAGCUACCCCCACUCUAAACCUCAGUGGAGAGCAAGUCUAACCUGCACUACCCGACACCGACGCGAAAGCACAAAGCCUAACUCCGGAGUGGCACUCGGGGGAGCUACCCAGCCGAGUAUGCAGCGUAGCUCUGUCGAGCUCAAUCAGGCCCUAACCAGCCAAACCCAAGUAACCAAAACAGACUUUGGGGCCCACCGCCUGCCCCGACGGCGCCCGACACCCCGUAACAGUCUACACUCAGCUAGUAUAAGCUCGGCGUCCCAGCACGAGCACAAACACAAGCUACACUACCCUGGGUAUCCAUCGCACAUAGCCCGCGACGAUACAAUGCAACAUGGCUCCUAGAGCUAAAUCCGGCAGUGUAUGUAAAUGACGAUCAACUCGGGAUUUUCUCCUAAGUCAAAUCCAAGUCCAACAAGUAUCAAUUAUCAUUACUCACUAAGCAUGCUCCCAAUUCAGGUUUUUAAUAUACUAAUCCAUGAAUUUGAGCUACCUCGUUUAGUGUUCAACGAACAAAGCAUACAAGUCGACUAAUAUGUACUUAGAGGCAAAACCGAUGAACCCACCUC